UCAGGCUCUCUCCCCGUUUCCUUCCUUCUGGCGCACCCAUCCCAACCCUUUCAGGCCUUCCCCCGACGCCGCCUCCCCCUCGCCUCAGCGCCUCCGUCGCCCUCUCUGGCUCUCUUUCCCCCCUCCACGCCGCCGGCACCCGAUUUGCGGGUUCAUCGAGCCGCCGAAGGGCCCCUUCGUCCUCCGCACAGAUCCUCCCCCGCCGUCGCCACUCCCGGUCUCCGAGCGGUGGGUGGUCCGCGCACCUCCGGCCUCCCCCUCGCGGUGGUGCUCCCGUUCCUGUCGUCCCUAACUGCCUCUAGCACCGAGCAGCAAGACGUGUGCAGAUCGGCGGAGUGGGGAUGCGCGAGGGGAGGCGGCCGGUGUGGUCGGCGGCGGAGGAGCUACGAUCCGGUAGGCUGCCCCGCACGCGAUCUGCUCGGCCGGCGCGGCGAUCCGCACGGUGGCCGUCGUUCGCCCCCGACGUCGACGCGCUUGACAACCGCGGAUCCUCCGUCACCGCAGCCGGGCCCCGAGCUGCAGACAGAUCGAGCCAGCGGAGUCCGAGCUCUCCUCCGCACACCCUCUUCCUCCGCCGGAACCCGAGCUGCGGGCGGAUCGACCUCGACUCAAGCCCGACCGCCGAUCCGUUGACGGGACCCGAGACUCCCGACCCCCCCCCCCCCCCCCCCCCCCCAAACGCCGCAUCCCCUACCAUCCGAUUCACUCUCAUCCGAUCCAUCCAAAUACCCCUCCAUUGCGCCGCAAAAUACCUCCAUCGCCCAGCUCGGAGCGGCGGCGAUCUUACCCUCCCCCGAGCCAACGUGGAGGGGUGGUGAGCAGCAAUGGAGCAGGGGAGACCUUGCUGCGUUGAUGGUCGGAAGGAUGAGAUCGGGCGUUGGUCGCUCCGCGCUUGGGAUCGACGGGUGGCCGGAUGGGACGGCGCUCAGCAGCUCCCUCUCUCCUCCAUGGUUCCAUGGAUACGCACCUCCAUUGUUGGUUCAUGAAUUGGGUUUUGGCUUGUUGCCCAAUUCAUAUGUGUUCAAGGGAACAAAGGAGGUCACCAAGGAACAAAUAUUGGAACAAAUGUGCUUCUUUGCAGGGAAGAAAAUGGCCGCAACUGGGGUGAUUGCUGGUACCAGAGAUGGUCUUUCAUCUGAGAGCAUCUCUAGGUUCCUGCUGCCUGCUUCUGAAUGAGAGUUUGUGUUGAACUCAGUUACAGAAGAAAUGCAAAAGGACCCUAGGCCUGUUCCAGCUGAUCAGCAGGCAUCAAGGUGCACUGGAGUUGCCUUAAGUGUUGCAGCCAAUCUCCUUGGGGUUUGUGUCCCUGGAUCAGGUUCUAGGAUAAUGGCAUUUGUUGGUGGUCCAUCUACAGAAGGCCCUGGUUCUAUAAGUCCUAAUUCUUUCAACUGGAUGCCAUUCUUUUAAAGCCAUCAUGGGUUCCUUCAAGUACAUCAUUCCUGAAUUAACAUGCCUAACAGAGGGCCAACUGGGAAGGUUCCUUCAGCGAUGUACAACCUGCAUAUUUCUCUGGAAAUUUAACAUAUGUUCCUAUAAGCUCUAGAAAUGUUACUGUCUGUAACUUCUGAAGUGGAAUGGAUUAUGCUCACCUAACCUGAACAUAUCUAGAUCUGAUGCUCUAAAUUUUAUAUAACAUUAACAUGGUUUUAUCUUAUUUCCCCAAAAUAGUCUGCUAGAUGCUAAAAUGCUAAAUUACUUUUAAUAGCCAUGAUUCUGGGAGCAGUUAUUUAGCUGUAUAGUUCACUAUAUGCCUGAGUGUUAUCUGUUUACAUUUGCUUGGGGAUUAUGUUGGAGUACACAUGAUAGUAUAAGAUAAGUACUUGUUCACCUGCUUUAGACUAUAAGUUUUUUCAGAAGACGCUGUGGGGCUGCCCACCCCUGCCCCCCCCCCCCCCCCGCUGCUCGGCUCCCAUCCCCCGGCCGUCGCGUGGGGCUGCUGCGGCGGUGGGCGGCGGCGGCGCGGGGCCUUCCGUUGCCGGAUAUCUCGCGGCCCCUUCCUCCGCCGGCGAGCGCGGCGCUAGAUGCCGUCAGUGGUGCGGCGUGGCGGUGAACUCGAGCGCCAGAGAGCUCUUCCUCCGCCGGCGAGCGCGGCGCUAGAUCCCGUCAGUGGUGCGGCGCGGCGGUGAACUCGAGCGCCAGAGAGCUCUGCCGCGAUGCGUCGAGCGCCAUCAAGCUCCGUCUCUCUCUCCGGGCUCCGGCGGCGGCCGCCGGCCGAGGUAGCAGGGUCAACGCCGGCGACGGGGCAGCGGGAAGCGGUGGUGGUGGAGGUGGAGCGGGUCUGCACAAUUCGAGCGCGAAGAAGACGAGCACCGCAGUGGCGCGGGGUGGCAGCGGUGGCCGGCGCGGGCGCGGGGGACCAACGGCUGGAGGCGAGGUGCCUCGGCAACACGCCGCCACACCUAAAUUUUUUGUCGUACUCUGCCACUGCAGACAUGAGUGACCAUGUAUAGAUUCUUGUGCUAGCCUGUGCCACUUUGGUUAGUGUUAUUAGAUUUGCUGAUCACCACCUAGCCUACUGAUUUUUGGUUUUCCUUUGCACAGAUGACUUCACAAAUCUGCAUUUUGCUAGAAGUUUUGAGUAGUCGUACAACCCUUGUACGAAAAGAUUGGAGGGCUGUGAAUUUACAGGUUCUUUGGAUUAAGACGUCAUUGACGCCUGGCUGAACGACAUAGGGUUAUUUCAUCCAUGUUUCAUUUUCUUUUUGCAGAUUCAAUAGUAUGUUUAGACAAAUUAUGUGACUUUACCAUUUAUAUGUUGAUAUAAACUUGUGUUUAAUAUUUUGAUAUAAA